UAGAAUAAACUUGGUGGAUUGUUGCUGGCUCUUUCAAGAGCAUGUGCACGUCUGUCAUCUUUAUAUCUCCACCUGUGCACCUUUUGUAGACCUGGAAACAAUUUUUAUUCUGAGGAGACUCAGUUGUGAGGACUUGUAGGCUUAGUAGGUCGACUUUCCUUGAGUGUCCAGGCCUAUGUCUUUCUAUACACACCCAAAAUAUGUAUUAGAAUGU
rnacentral:misc_RNA from 1 species